UACGUAGGGUCCGAGCGUUGUCCGGAAUUAUUGGGCGUAAAGAGCUCGUAGGCGGUUUGUCGCGUCUGCUGUGAAAUCCCGAGGCUCAACCUCGGGCCUGCAGUGGGUACGGGCAGACUGGAGUGCGGUAGGGGAGAAUGGAAUUCCUGGUGUAGCGGUGGAAUGCGCAGAUAUCAGGAGGAACACCGAUGGCGAAGGCAGUUCUCUGGGCAGUAACUGACGCUGAGGAGCGAAAGCCAGGGGAGCAAACGGG
rnacentral:rRNA from 1 species